UGGGGAUAUAGCUCAGUGGUAGAGCGCUGCUUUUGCACGGCAGAUGUCAGGAGUUCGACUCUCCUUAUCUCCAA
rnacentral:tRNA from 3 species